rnacentral:rRNA from 1 species
UACGGAGGGGGCUAGCGUUGUUCGGAAUUACUGGGCGUAAAGCGCGCGUAGGCGGACCUGCAAGUCGGGGGUGAAAGCCCGAGGCUCAACCUCGGAACUGCCUUCGAUACUGCGGGUCUCGAGUCCGGGAGAGGUGAGUGGAAUUCCUAGUGUAGAGGUGAAAUUCGUAGAUAUUAGGAAGAACACCAGUGGCGAAGGCGGCUCACUGGACCCGGUACUGACGCUGAGGUGCGAAAGCGUGGGGAGCAAACAGG